GACGAACGCUGGCGGCGUGCCUAAUACAUGCAAGUAGAACGCUGAAGAGAGGAGCUUGCUCUUCUUGGAUGAGUUGCGAACGGGUGAGUAACGCGUAGGGAACCUACCUUGUAGCGGGGGAUAACUAUUGGAAACGAUAGCUAAUACCGCAUAACAAUGAAUGACACAUUUCAUUUAUUUGAAAGGGGCAAUUGCUCCACUACAAGAUGGACCUGCGUUGUAUUAACUAGUCGGUGAGGUAAUGGCUCACCUAGGGGAAGAUACAUAGCAGACCUGAGAGGGUGGACGGCCACACUGGGACUGAGACACGGGCCAUUCUCCUACGGGAGGCAGCAGUAGUGGAUCUUCAGCAAUGGAGGCAACCCUGACCGAGCAACGCCGCGUGAGUGAAGAAGGUAUGCGGAUCGUAAAGCUCUGGUGUAAGUCAAGAACGGGUGUGAGAGUGGAAAGUUCACACUGUGACGGGAGCUGACCAGAAAGGGACGGCUAACUACGUG
rnacentral:rRNA from 1 species